UUUAUCUAGGCAAGAGAAUCAUUUUAAAAUCAAUAUUUAAUCAAUACAUCAAAGAUAGUAUAUAUGCAGACAUAAAGCCAUCUCGAGACUAAAACUUCGAGGAAAAUGAAGUACUUCUCCUAUUUUUCCCAAGUACAACUGAAAACCCUGGAUAUUAUACACAAAAUAAACACAGGAGACUCUAAAAGGGCAAAAGAAAGAGGCAAACUGGUGAGAGACUUCAGGAACAGAGGAUCGGCAUGAUGACAGGAAUAUAAACAUCAAAGAAGCUCAAAGAACUCCAAGUAAGAUGAAACUUAAGCCACACCAGAGUUCCCAUUGUGGCUCAGCAGGCUAAGGACCUGAUAUUGUCUCUGAAGAUGUGAGUUCAAUUCCUGGCCUUGUCAGUGGAUUAAGGGUCUGGUAAGUCUCAAUGGAUUAAGAACUCAUCAACGAAUUUGGGAAAGUUGCUGCAACCUGUGGCUUAGGUUGCAUUUGAAGCUUGGAUCUGGUGUUGCUGUGGUGUGGCAUAGGCCUCAGCAGCAGCUCUGAUUCGACCCUUGGCCCAGGAACUUCCAUAUAUCACAGGUGCAGCUGUAAAAUGGAAAAAAAAAAAAUCCCCAUAUCAAGACACAUUAUCAAACAUUCAGUGACAGAGAGACAAUCUUGAAAGCAGCAAAAGAGAAGCAGAUUGUUACAUACAAGGGAUCCUCGAUAUGCUCAUUACCAGAUUUUUCAUUAGAAACUUUGGAAAGCAGAAGACAGUGCAUGGAUACAGUCAGAGUGCUUAAAGGAGAAAACAAACUGUAGAACUGUCCUUCAAAAGUUAGGGAGAAGUUAAGACAUCUCCAGGUAAACAAAAGCUAAGGGAGUUGAAGACCACCUGACAUGCCCUGCAAGAAAUGCUCAAAGUAGUUCUGCAAGAUGAAAUGAAAUGAUACCAUAUAAUCUUAUUUUCUACAUAAUUUAAGAAACUAAUAAUGCUUAAAAGAAUUGAGUUUAUGUUUGGGGGCAUGUAGUUAUAACUAUGUAAUUCUGUGACACACACCAAUGAAAGGGAUGAGGAUGCAAAUGUAAAGGGGCAAAGUUUCGUGUGUUUCUGAAGUUAAGCUGGUAAAAAUUCAUAUUAGGGUGUUAUAACUUUAGGAUAUUAAAUGUAAUCUUCAUGGUGACAACAAAGAAAAGACCUAUAGAAUAUACACAUAAGGAAGUGAGAAAGGGACUUAAAACACCACCACAGAAAAACCAG